rnacentral:sRNA from 1 species
AAUUUGCGUUAGGGAUUGCAGUGGAAAUCCUUUUUUGAUGCCUUUUUUGGCAGCAAAAAAGAUUGGAGCGUAAAGCCCGUUAAAAC